rnacentral:rRNA from 1 species
UCGGACAUCAGGAGGUUAGUGCAAUGGCAUAAGCCAGCUUGACUGCGAGCGUGACGGCGCGAGCAGGUGCGAAAGCAGGUCAUAGUGAUCCGGUGGUUCUGAAUGGAAGGGCCAUCGCUCAACGGAUAAAAGGUACUCCGGGGAUAACAGGCUGAUACCGCCCAAGAGUUCAUAUCGACGGCGGUGUUUGGCACCUCGAUGUCGGCUCAUCACAUCCUGGGGCUGAAGUAGGUCCCAAGGGUAUGGCUGUUCGCCAUUUAAAGUGGUACGCGAGCUGGGUUUAGAACGUCGUGAGACAGUUCGGUCCCUA